rnacentral:rRNA from 1 species
UNCGAUUGCGAAGGCAGCUUGCUGGACUGUAACUGACGCUGAGGCACGAAAGCGUGGGGAUCAAACAGGAUUAGAUACCCUGGUAGNCCACGCCGUAAACGAUGANUGCUAGCUGUUAGCGAUAUACUGUUAGCGGCACAGAGAAAUCGUUAAGCAUUCCACCUGGGGAGUACGCCGGCAACGGUGAAACUCAAAGGAAUUGACGGGGGCCCGCACAAGCGGAGGAACAUGUGGUUUAAUUCGAUGAUACGCGAGGAACCUUACCUGGGCUUAAAUUGCAGUGGAAUAACGUGGAAACAUGUUAGCCUUCGGGCCGCUGUGAAGGUGCUGCAUAGUUGUCGUCAGCUCGUGCCGUGAGGUGUCGGCUUAAGUGCCAUAACGAGCGCAACCCUCAUCGAUAGUUACUAACAGGUUAAGCUGAGGACUCUAUCGAGACUGCCGACGUAAGUCGUGAGGAAGGUGGGGAUGACGUCAAAUCAGCACGGCCCUUACGUCCAGGGCUACACACGUGUUACAAUGGGGGGUACAAAGGGCAGCUACCUGGCGACAGGAUGCUAAUCUCAAAAACCUCUCUCAGCUCGGAUUGGAGUCUGCAACCCGACUCCAUGAAGCUGGAUUCGCUAGUAAUCGCGCAUCAGCCACGGCGCGGUGAAUACGUUCCCGGGCCUUGUACACACCGCCCGUCAAGCCAUGGGAGCCGGGGGGACCUGAAGUAUGCAACCGUAAGGAGCGUCCUAGGGUAAAACUGGUGACUGGGGCU